CGAUGUGGGGCGAUGUGCCGCUGCUGUCCUCGCUGCUGUCCCGCUGCUGUCCCCGCUGCUGCCCCGCAAUGUUCCUCUUAGUGCACAGCCAACACAGCCACCAGCCGUGUGGGCCUCGGCCGCGCCAUCCCGCCCCUUCUCCUCCCAUCCCGCCCUCGGUCCACGUUUCCCCGGCGGUGUGUUAAUUCCCGACACAAAUGAGAUGCAACAUGGGCAGCACAAGCGUCCUCGAACUGCCCCGCCAACGUGACCCAGUUCUGAAUGAGCAGCACCAGCUUGCUGGGGGAGAAAGGAGCCUGUCACUAUUCAGCCCCUGACCCCUCUGCUCCAGGCUGCUAAUGAAGGAGCCUCAUUAACACCAAAGAUAAAUCACCCUGCCUUGAAAAGUUUCCAGUCUGCCAGCCAAAUCCUGGGAAUCUGAAACAGCGGGAGGCAACUGGUGCAGCAGAACAGCUCCAUGCUGACCCAGACCCCACCCCUGGAAUUUGGCAUCCACAGCUGGAGUCUCCCCCCCUCAGCAGCACCAGGAGAGAAGUGAGGCUGGGAUCAGCAACAUGGCUCUAAUCCUGGAACAUUAAUAGGAUCAUUGGGAAGAGCCUGACUUCUGCAACUCCAGCCUGAGACAGAGGGACAGACCCUUCCCCUGUGACAGAUCCUUGCGACUUUAGAGCAGUUUUUGAAGACAGGUGCCAAGAAGCAUCACCAAACCCAUGGUAGCUAGAUUUUUGGUAGAAAACAGAGGCAGAAAUUCCCUGGAGCUGAGCAGUUCAGUCCCUGGAUGCGGUGUGGGACUAAUCCAGCCAGCCUUGCUGCUCCAGCCCUGCAGAGUGAGCAGGUUGUGGGUGACACUUGGCAGGUGACACUGCCUCAGUGGCACCUCUGAGCUCCUGAGACACUGGUGGCAAACAGCUUUUCUUUGAAAGCCUUUUCAGCUCUAAUGCAGGGAAGGGAAGAUUGUCUCAAACCCACUCAUCAGCUGAUGAUGUUCUUGAGGAGAAGCUCGUUUGCAGUGGGAUGAGCUGAGCCACCGCCGUGUCCAGCAGUCCCCUGGGUGCAGCAGGGUGAGGCUCCCACAGCUUCCUCUGCCUCCCUUCCCGAGUUCAAAGGGAGCAAACACAGGAGUGUGACACAAAGGAGCUCUUCUGCAGCUCCUGCUCCGACCAGACCGACCGACUCGAGGGUGAGCCCCAGUGCUAACGAUGGCCUCUCCUUAAUGCAGGCUGGCUGCUUCCCAGAGCAGCUGAGAUCACAGCCACAGCAGCCAAAUGGGUGGCAGGCAGAAGGGUUUGAGGGCUGACUCUUCAUGCUCAUGGGUUUCCAUGUGCUCCUCCACAGCACGGGGACUCUCUCCUCAUCCCUCAUCGCUUCUACAGCGAUGCAAGGUGAAAAAACAAUUGGAGGCAGGAUGGCAAAUCCCACCUCAUGGCUAAAGAGGUGUCAGUGGAGAGAGGGUGAAGGGAUGGAGAGGCAGAAGAAGAAGGAGAAGAAGAAGG